rnacentral:rRNA from 1 species
AACGAACGCUGGCGGCAGGCCUAACACAUGCAAGUCGAGCGCACCUUCGGGUGAGCGGCGGACGGGUUAGUAACGCGUGGGAAUAUGCCCAUCCCUACGGAAUAGCCUCGGGAAACUGAGAGUAAUACCGUAUACGCCCUUCGGGGGAAAGAUUUAUCGGGGAUGGAUUAGCCCGCGUCUGAUUAGAUAGUUGGUGGGGUAACGGCCUACCAAGUCGACGAUCAGUAGCUGGUUUGAGAGGAUGAUCAGCAACACUGGGACUGAGACACGGCCCAGACUCCUACGGGAGGCAGCAGUGGGGAAUCUUAGACAAUGGCGCAAGCCUGAUCUAGCCAUGCCGCGUGAGUGACGAAGGCCCUAGGGUCGUAAAGCUCUUUCGCCGGGGAAGAUAAUGACUGUACCCGGUAAAGAAGUCCCGGCUAACUCCGUGCCAGCCGCCGCGGUAAU